AGAGUUUGAUCUGGCUCAGAUUGAACGCUGGCGGCAGGCUUAACACAUGCGAGCGGAGAGAGGUAGCUUGCUACUGAUCUUAGUGUACGCGGCGGACGGGUGAGUAAUGCUUAGGAAUCUAUUAGUGGGGGACAACAUUUCGAAAGGAAUGCUAAUACCGCAUACCUACGGGAGAAAGCAGGGGAUCUUCGGACCUUGCGCUAAUAGAUGAGCCUAAGUCGGAUUAGUUGUACCUAGUUGGUGGGGUAAAGGCCUACCAAGGCGACGAUCUGUAGCGGGUCUGAGAGGAUGAUCCGCCACACCUGAGAUUGUCCACGGCCCAGACUCCUACGGGAGGCAGCAGUGGGGAAUAUUGGACAAUGGGCGCAAGCCUGAUCCAGCCAUGCCGCGUGUGUGAAGAAGGCCUUAUGGUUGUAAAGCACUUUAAGCGAGGAGGAGGCUACUGAAGUUAAUACCAAUGCUGAUAGUGGACGUUACUCGCAGAAUAAGCACUAACUCUGUGCCAGCAGCCGCGGUAAUACAGAGGGUGCAAGCGUUAAUCGGAUUUACUGGGCGUAAAGCGCGCGUAGGCGGCUAAUUAAGUCAAAUGUGAAAUCCCCGAUGAUCACUUGGGAAUUGCAUUCGAUACUGGUUAGCUAGAGUGUGGGAGGAUGGUAGAAUUCCAGGUGUAGCAAAUGCGUAGAGAUCUGGAUCUGGAGGAAUACCGAUGGCGAAGGCAGCCAUCUGGCCUAACACUGACGCUGAGGUGCGAAAGCAUGGGGAGCAAACAGGAUUAGAUACCCUGGUAGUCCAUGCCGUAAACGAUGUCUACUAGCCGUUGGGGCCUUUGAGGCUUUAGUGGCGCAGCUAACGCGAUAAGUUGUACGUAGACCGCCUGGGGAGUACGCAAGACUAAAACUCAAAUGAAUUGACGGGGGCCCGCACAAGCGGUGGAGCAUGUGGUUUAAUUCGAUGCAACGCGAAGAACCUUACCUGGCCUUGACAUAGUAAGAACUUUCCAGAGAUGGAUUGGUGCCUUCGGGAACUUACAUACAGGUGCUGCAUGGCUGUCGUCAGCUCGUGUCGUGAGAUGUUGGGUUAAGUCCCGCAACGAGCGCAACCCUUUUCCUUAUUUGCCAGCGAGUAAUGUCGGGAACUUUAAGGAUACUGCCAGUGAUUGAUCCUGGAGGAAGGCGGGGACGACGUCAAGUCAUCAUGGCCCUUACGGCCAGGGCUACACACGUGCUACAAUGGUCGGUACAAAGGGUUGCUAAUGCCGUACCUAGCGAUAGGAUGCUAAUCUCAAAAAGCCGAUCGUAGUCCGGAUUGGAGUCUGCAACUCGACUCCAUGAAGUCGGAAUCGCUAGUAAUCGCGGAUCAGAAUGCCGCGGUACGUUCCCGGGCCUUGUACACACCGCCCGUCACACGAGUUUGUUGCACCAAGUAGCUAGCCUA
rnacentral:rRNA from 1 species